AUUGAACGCUGGCGGCAGGCCUAACACAUGCGAGUCGAGCGGAUGAAGGGAGCUUGCUCCUGGAUUCAGCGGCGGACGGGUGAGUAAUGCCUAGGAAUCUGCCUGGUAGUGGGGGAUAACGUCCGGAAACGGGCGCUAAUACCGCAUACGUCCUGAGGGAGAAAGUGGGGGAUCUUCGGACCUCACGCUAUCAGAUGAGCCUAGGUCGGAUUAGCUAGUUGGUGGGGUAAAGGCCUACCAAGGCGACGAUCCGUAACUGGUCUGAGAGGUUGAUCAGUCACACUGGAACUGAGACACGGUCCAGACUCCUACGGGAGGCAGCAGUGGGGAAUAUUGGACAAUGGGCGAAAGCCUGAUCCAGCCAUGCCGCGUGUGUGAAGAAGGUCUUCGGAUUGUAAAGCACUUUAAGUUGGGAGGAAGGGCAGUAAGUUAAUACCUUGCUGUUUUGACGUUACCAACAGAAUAAGCACCGGCUAACUUCGUG
rnacentral:rRNA from 1 species